AUGCUUGUUUUGUCAGCAUAUAUACUAAAAUUGAAACAAUACAAAGAAGAUUAGCUUGGCCCCUGCACAAGGAUGACAAACAAAUUCGUGAAGUGGUCCAUAUUUUG
ensembl:snRNA U6 U6 spliceosomal RNA